rnacentral:lncRNA from 10 species
CUCCCACCCCGGCCCUGGCCCUGGGCCUGCCCUCACUGCCUCCUCCCCAUCCCCUACCCCUAGAGGCCUCCUGCCCUGGUCACCUACGCGUCACCUAAGCCCCGAGGCCAGGCGGCUUCUUGUCUACUAAAGACUUCCGGAGAGAGGCAUUCACCCUGUGGUCAGAGCUGGGGUUUCCAUGGAGGAGCACCACAGCCAUAAAGAAAGUUAUGGAGGCUGUGAAGUGCAAGGUCAAGAGGCUGCAUCUGGUGAAGACCUUCUUGCUGGUAGGGUCUCUCUACCUGGUCCUGAGGCAGUCCAGGGCAUCACAUGGCUGGUGAGCCCCAGAGCGGAGGACCCUGCCGAGCUGUUUCCAGACUCCUGAUCCACAGAAACCGUGAGAGGAUAACAUUGUUCUGCUUGAAGCCACUACACCUGCCGUCACUUGUCUCGCAUCAUUAGGGAACCAACGUGCUCUGGAAGACAGCAACUCUCAGGGUCCAUUCCGCUGACACCAGCGCCUCAGAUGACACAGGACGUGGCAUGGUGGCUAUUGACUCAUCAAGGGAACAGCAAUGGUAACAACAAAACCUGGUUGUUCAGAAGUCACACACUCAAGGCCCUACGGGGCCAAGAGGGGUCCAGGAGCAGCCCAGUGAGCGGGGCAGGGGAGGGGUGCAGUCCACCCAGGACCCGUGCUGCCCACAGGCUGCUGCUGUGCUCGGAGAGGGCCUGCCACAUGUGUCCGCAGAGAGAAUCCGGGAAUGCAAAUUUCUAAGCGAAUUUCUCCAUACUUCAAUGUUUGACAAUCAGUAAUUUUUCUUUGUAAUUGAUUUUUUAAAUGUGAAACUCUUUUCAGGCAAACAAAACACACUUGCAGGCUGCCAUUACACAAUUUUGUUUUAAUCAUUUUAAGGUCUUCAUUGUCUUUUACACAAAAGCUGGGAAUAUUCUCCCUCUUUCCAGAAUUCAACUGGUUUAGUGACUAGGAAGAUAUUUUGUAAUACAUUUUUUUAAAAAAGAAAACCAUGAAGGAAUAUUUCAAAUAAGAAGCUGACUAGCUUAAAUUAAUAGCUGUUAAGUAUUAAAUAUGAUGUGCUUUCUCUUAAACUAGGCCACUCUGCACCUUGCAUUCCUAUCCUUUUUUGGGCUUCAGAUCAGAAAUCGCAACUUUUGCGUGGAGAUCCUGGGCCUCCACACUGCUGGCCUCCCAUCGUCCCAAGAAUGACUCCCUGGAAAGAGCCUGUUCAGACCCUUUGUGACUGGACUCUACUAACAGGGUGCCUGCUCGCUCAUCACACAGGUUGGAUAAGAUCGACAGGAAAAACCCCUCCAACAGCACAGCAGAGCAGCACAGAGCCCUGCCUCUCUCCAGCUGGGGAAGUCGGGAGCUGAAGUGGAAAGCUGGUUGAAGAACAAUGUGAAAAAAAUGAGGCCUGACUCAAUUCCUAAAAGCGGCUGCCUGACCUUAUGCAAGCCACAGCUUCUAUUUACAAACCCAGGAAACUGGACAAAAUACUGAAAGGAUCCCCUAAGAUAAUGAGAGUUAACAACAGAUGCAAAGCAAGGUUCUGUGGAAAUGUAAGGUCGUGUUACCACGCAGGGCUGAAAAGCUUUCCUGACUACUUUCUGAUUUGCGUAUACUAAGGACUAUUUCAAGAGGGUGACAUUUUAUGAAUUAAAGGCAUGCCACUUCCAUUCACAGUGCUGUUCUGAGAGAUUCGAUUCUGUCCUUGACAAUCUAAGAAAAUCUUAACUCUGCAUUAUGUAAAUACUAAGGACACGGGGUGUUUCGAAUGAGACCAACCUCGUAUCUCUCUCAACUCCCUCUCCUCCCGGGGCCACCCUUUUCUUUAAUUGAAAGCACAAUAAACUUAAUCAGCUGCUCCUAACGAUGCCUGCCCCAGCCUGGGAGAUUCAGCAAGGCUUGGGGCGUGCAUGACAAAGAAACACACACUCCAGAAUCUCACUUUUGUUAUUCCCCAGCCAUCUUUUGUUAUGUGGCAUGGGAAAAAUCUUAAUGAGCCUGCCCUGCUGCUGCAGAAAUUCUUGUCAGAUGAAAAGCAGCCCCUCCUUCCACCUGGCAAGGGCUUACAGAGAACACAGCAGCCCACAUCUACUCACGUUUCCUGAAACAAUCCCCUAUUUAACUUCCUAGGCAACAGAAAAUCUGAAGAAAAUGAGAUACCACAGAAGAUGAAUUUGAUGUAACAAAAAGGUGUUUUAAAAAGAUAAGUAGAGAGGCCAUCCUACAAAAUUUCAUGGCUGACAAUGGUAAAAAAGAUGCAGAAAAGGACCAUCUGGCCUGAAAAAUUCAGCCGGGGUCGGGGGAGGGGGUCCCGCAGCAGAGGCCAGGCCUUCAAGGAUGGGGAUCCUCUUCUGUCUUCCUUUUCUCAAAAUGUUUGUUGGAUGAUGGACUUAAUUUUAAAACCCCAAGUCACUGCGGUUUAGCCAGCUAUGGAUGAUGAAAGCACUACAAUCAUUGAAACUGACAAGGAGGCAGUUUCCUUCAAAAAUACGAAAACUGUACGCAGAGUACAUGGAGAAAAAUGUGACACAAGCAUUUGGACACACUACUAAACAACAACAUGGGACAAUAUAGACAACAAUUGGAAAUACACUUUGAGGAGGUAAAAAGUUCAGUAUUCACUGGCUUCCUUUUGGAGGUUGUUAAAUUGCUGAAAUUCAAAUAAAAGUCAUUGAGCCAUUGUGUCUGUCAGCUGUGCCUCUAUCUCACCCCCGGGUGGGUGGAGGUCCCCCUGGCUUU